ACAAUAUGGCACAAUAAAAAACGGAUCCGUCUCCCAUUGACUUUCAAUGGUGUUCAAGAUGGAUCCAUUUUGGCCAUGUUACAGAUAAUACAAAUGGAUCCGUUCUGAACGGAUGAAUGCGGUGGUAUUAUCUGAACUGAAGCAUUUGUGAAGAUCCAUGACGAAUCUACACCAAGUGCGA